rnacentral:rRNA from 1 species
AGCAGCCGCGGUAAUUCCAGCUCCAAUAGCGUAUAUUAAAGUUGCUGCAGUUAAAAAGCUCGUAGUUGAAUUUCGGGAUCAAUAUGUUGGUCGUGCCUCGGUACGUACUAGCUUAUUGGUUUCUCCCUUCUGACGAACCAUGAUGUCAUUUAUUUGGUGUUAUGGGGAAUCAGGACUGUUACUUUGAAAAAAUUAGAGUGUUUAAAGCAGGCUCACGCUUGAAUACAUUAGCAUGGAAUAAUGAAAUAGGACGUUUGAUUCUAUUUUGUUGGUUUCUAGGAUCGACGUAAUGAUUAAUAGGGAUAGUUAGGGGCAUUAGUAUUCAAUUGUCAGAGGUGAAAUUCUUGGAUUUAUUGAAGACUAACUACUGCGAAAGCAUUUGCCAAGGAUGUUUUCAUUAAUCAAGAACGAAAGUUAGGGGAUCGAAGACGAUCAGAUACCGUCGUAGUCUUAACCAUAAACUAUGCCGACUAGGGAUCGGAUGAUGUUAAUUUUUAAUUGA